CCUACGGGAGGCAGCAGUGAGGAAUAUUGGUCAAUGGGCGCGAGCCUGAACCAGCCAAGUAGCGUGCAGGAUGACGGCCCUAUGGGUUGUAAACUGCUUUUAUGCGGGGAUAAAGUGCACCACGUGUGGUGUUUUGUAGGUACCGCAUGAAUAAGGACCGGCUAAUUCCGUGCCAGCAGCCGCGGUAAUA
rnacentral:rRNA from 1 species